UCCCCGAUAGUCUAGUGGUGAGGAUAUCUGCUUGUCACUGCAUUGCAGCAGCUCGCAGGGGACCGGGGUUCAAUUCCCCGUCGAGGAG
rnacentral:tRNA from 1 species